rnacentral:lncRNA from 1 species
UACACACUCAAUAAAUAAAUCAAUUCAACGUUCAACUAAUUACUUAAAUAUUUCCUUUAUAUUCUACCAUGAGAUAAAUUCAGUGCUUGAAAAAUCCUACAAAAUUUGGUCAUAUAUGUGGCAUACAUCCUCUUAGAUUCUGCAUUUCUAAUUGCAAAAAUGCUCUGAGUACUGUUUGAGAUAAUUACUGAAGGAAAAAGCACCCUUUCUAUAUCCUUCACAGGGUGUAGAACUAUUAACAGUAAUGGCAUUUGUUAUAGUUUGGAUCUAAAAUGGCCACAAAACAACUCUUCUGUUCAGAUGUGAAAGUUUUGGAAGCUGAUUGAUCAUGCGGGUGCUAUACUCAUCAAUAGGUUAACCAGUUGAUGAGUUCAUAGUGGAAUGUCCUGCUAGGAAAUGGGGCCUGGGUAGAAAAGGUGAGUCACUGGGACAUGACCUGGAAGAAGAGUAUAUACUUGUCUCCAGCCUUUUCCUCUGUUACUCUGCCAGGCCCCACCACCAUACCAUUUCUGCCCUGGAGCCAGCUGACCAUGGACUGAAACCUCAGAAACCACGAACCAAAUGAAUCCUGGCUCUUUUAUGUUGUAAAUGUCAGGUACCUAGUCCCAGCAAUGAAAAUGACUGACAUGGCAUUGUACUUAGCUUUGAUAAGAGGGCCUGUCUGUCAUCGAAUCUGAAGUGCUUUAUAGAUGGAGCUCAAAGGGGAGAGGAGCCUAACAGGACUGAGACUCAAGUGAAUUUUCCCUUGCACCGUGGACCCGGAUCACAUCAUGGGCUGAUGAACCUGCCAUCUUCAUUGAAUUCUGUUCCUGACACACAAGGCAUAGGACAUUUUGAAUCUGCUUUAACUCACUUGAAGAUCUCUUUGUCUAGCUUUAAAAUCUGAAAAGGACAGGUAUAUAGGAGAACGUGGUUUGGGAAUAAAGUCUAUGAAUCUUCAGUACUGUUGUAUCAGACCAAGGAACUUCCUUUACAACAUAGGAAGU